rnacentral:lncRNA from 1 species
CGCUUCUCUUCCUUCCACAAUAAAUCAAUCAUCAUGCCUCUGUGUCCUAUAGGUAACAUGCAUAGUCGCAUUUGUCAUCCAUUCUUAUGAUUAUUCAGAUUGAGUUAUUUGGGAGAAAAACGACAAAAAAAGGAGUCCGGAUAUGAUUCCGUCAUCGGACUGACUUUUAGUCAUAGAUAAGACUUCCGGUUUUAAAGAUGCACAAAUACAACCA